AUACAUGCUAAGUGGAAAAGGAUGUGGAGUUGCAUAGACAACUAGGAUGUUGGCUCAGAAGCAGCCACCAUUUAAAGAGUGCGUAAUAGCUCACUAGUCGAGUGAUUCCGCGCCGAAAAUUUACCGGGGCUAAGCAUAUUACCGAGACUGUGGACUUGACCAUUAGGUCAAGUGAUAGGAGAGCGUUCUAAGGGCAAUGAAGCCAGACCGUAAGGACUGGUGGAGCGCUUAGAAGUGAGAAUGCCGGUAUGAGUAGCGAAAAAUCAGUGAGAAUCUGAUU
rnacentral:rRNA from 1 species